UCACUUUCAACAACGGAUCUCUUGGCUCUCGCAUCGAUGAAGAACGCAGCGAAAUGCGAUAAGUAGUGUGAAUUACAGAAUUACGUGAAUCAUCGAAUCUUUGAACGCAAAUUGCACUCUCUGGUAUUCCGGGGAGUAUGCCUGUUUGAGGGUCGCU
rnacentral:rRNA from 1 species